UCGGGCCGCCGCCCCCGGCCCUGGCCCGGUCCCCGCGGCCGCCGCGGCUGCCGUGACGGGGCAGGGGGGCACCGGGCCGCCCCGCGCCGCAUCCUGGACGCCUUCCUCUCAGCGCCGCCGCCGCCAGCCGAGAGCUCCGCGACAGAAGCGAGCUUGGAGAAGGGCGGAAUACGCGGAGGAGAGCCCCCACCGCGACCCCCUCCCGCCGCGCCUGCGCAGGCGCCGUCGGGGAGGGGGCGGGCGCCUGGCGGAAAGGAUGACGUGAUGCUCUUCGGGCCCGGAGGGCCGCAGCUUCCCAGGCGGCCGCCGCAACGCGGCCAUCCACUGCCCGGUCGCCCGCAACCGCCACCCCCUCGAGGCUGCGACUCCUUUUGAGAGGAUAAGGAGGUUGAGGAGACUUUUGAGAGUUUGGGUGAAUGGCCUUAUUUGUGCUGCUGCCAGCCCUCUCUUUUAGACUGUGAACGUAGUGGCCUCACUAUUCCCAUCAACUUGAGGGCCAAGAACUUCCUGGGAAAGGCCAGAUGGCCCAAUGAGGGACAUGAAAGGCCCUUGGACAAGAUCCCAAAAGGAAGAUAUAUUUAACCGUGGCUUAACUCUCAAAAAUUUCUUUGGGGUGAUGGAACUGUAAUGUAUCUUGAUUGUGGUGGUGGUUACACAAUUGUUUGUAUUUUAUAUCUCACAGAACCACACACUAAAAAGAGUGAAUUUUACUAUCUGUAGAUAAUACCAUAAUAAAAAAUGAGAAAAUGUCUAUAGAAUUGAUAAUUGAAUAUUUUAGCAUUUUGUCCUACUGAUUGUAAACAAAAACAUAGAGUCAUACUAUCAAUCUCCAAGUUCUAUCAAUCUGCCUUUAGUGUGACAGACAGAAAAAUCAUACCAGAAUUAUUGUAGAGAAAAUGGUAUUUAAUUAUUAGAUGAUUAAAUUUAUAAUAAUGAUACUGAUAGAAUUCAAACAGCACAUCAAGAAUUAACUGUAAUCAAAAUAAACUGAAUUUCUAAAGUUCAGA